rnacentral:lncRNA from 1 species
AUCCAAGUCAAUCAAUAGAGAUUACACAAAUCAAACCAAUUCAAAAUCAGCUUAAAAUUCAUUCAAGCCAGCUAUAAAAAACAAAAUAGUACAUAGAAAAAUACCGAUCGUCACCUUCAUCGAACAACUGAAAUCUAUCUGCAAAAUCAUCGAUCAAUUAGAACAGCAAACAGAUACAGUGAACAGUAAAAAUCAAUAAAAAGAACGAAAGGACAGUAAAAACUCAACAAACCAUCAUACAUCCCCAAAUUGUAAACUUAGAAAAGAAUACAGAUCUAAAGCAGUCAAAAAUAAAAUCAAAAUGCACAGGAAUGAGACGCUACAGAGCUUAUGCUCACAUCGGUCAACGGGAGAGUGAUUUUUCGGAUGUAGCGAAGCGGUUCCAAUAUAUCAGCGUCACAACAACAAGAAACGUCCACGAUGGCUAAAAGUAAGCUACCAAUCCACGAUAGGUCUGAUGAAACCCCUUGAUGAGAAAGCAGAGUCUCAAACCAUGAAAGCACACAACCAGAUCGCAGCAAUAAAAAUUCCUUUAAAUGAUGAAGCAGCGCGAUGAACUAAAAGAAAAGAAAGCAAAACCAAUCCAUCGACGAGAUGAAUGAGCAAAAACCAAUCAGGAGAAAGCUAAAAUGAAA